AAGGCAUGAACUUCAUUUCAUCAAGUCUGCUCAUAUUGUGCGGUUCAAGCCUAGAAGUGGAUUGAAUGGAAAUUCCUCUGUGAUUCUUCCCUUCUUCAUCCCCGAAAAAUGACUCUCCUGUGGACCUGGCCUGUCUUGAUCCUGGCAGUCUUAGAAGGGAGUGUUGGACAGUCAGUGGACCAAACAGAAGGCACCGUGCUUGUCACCCAAGGAGAGCGCAUCUCGCUCAACUGUUCCUACCAAGGGAAUGUCUACGAUCUGUUCUGGUACAUUCAGCAUCCAGGCCAACCUCUCAAGCUUUUCCUGAGUAGCCAUAACCCACGAGCAGAUGGGUCUCUUCUUGGCUUCAAAGCCGAGCGGACGAUGGACAAGAAAGACAAGGGGACUUACAACAUGGGGAAGACAGCCAGCGAGCUGAACGACUCUGCUGUCUAUUUCUGUGCCAUGAGAGACACAGAUAGACUCAUUUUCAUCACCCCCACAAUAUUCUGUGCUUUUCUUGAAUAG